rnacentral:rRNA from 1 species
ACUCCUACGGGAGGCAGCAGUGGGGAAUAUUGCACAAUGGGCGCAAGCCUGAUGCAGCAACGCCGCGUGAGGGACGACGGCCUUCGGGUUGUAAACCUCUUUUAGUAGGGAAGAAGCGAAAGUGACGGUACCUGCAGAAAAAGCACCGGCUAACUACGUGCCAGCAGCCGCGGUAAUAC